rnacentral:rRNA from 1 species
CAUAUCAUUAAGCGGAGGAAAAGAAACUAACAAGGAUUCCCCCAGUAACGGCGAGUGAAGCGNGAAGAGCUCAAGCUUAAAAUCUCCAUACUUGUAUGGCGAAUUGUAGUCUAUUGAGGCUGUUGUCAGCAUCGCGAUUGGGGACAAGUCCCUUGGAAAAGGGCAGCAUGGAGGGUGAUACUCCCGUCUCUGCUCCAAUCUGCGGUGUGUACGAUACGCUUUCUUUGAGUCGAGUUGUUUGGGAAUACAGCUCAAAGUAGGUGGUAAAUUCCAUCUAAAGCUAAAUAUUGGUGCGAGACCGAUAGCGAACAAGUACCGUGAGGGAAAGAUGAAAAGAACUUUGAAAAGAGAGUUAAAGAGUACCUGAAACUGUUGAAAGGGAACCGUAUCGUUUCCAGUGUUGUAUCCUAUGCAUAUUUCAUUCGUGGAGUAAUUUACGGGUGCCCUGUGCAUGGGUGUGACGUCAGGGUCAGUUUGUAUGCUGCGGGAGAUGGUCAGUGAGGAGGUGCGUCACUUCGGUGAAAGUUAUAUCUCGCUGUCUAGUAGCCGUGGUUGAGACUGAGGUGCCUACAACAUGCCUUAAGGUUCUAUGUUGUCUCGUGUUGGUGACUGCUUUGAUAGCUUGCUAUGUCUGUGGUUUAUUAAUGCGAUUGAUGAUGUGGAUAACUUUUGCUGUUCGGGACUCUGGCG